ACUGAAAAUAAAAUUAUUCUGAUUUUCAGAAAACCAUAUUCUAUCUCGGAAGCUAAGCAGGGUCGGGCCUGGUUAGUACUUGGAUGGGAGACCACCGAGGAAGACCAGGUGCUAUAGGCA
rnacentral:rRNA from 1 species